rnacentral:rRNA from 1 species
UACAGAGGUCCCAAGCGUUGUUCGGAUUCACUGGGCGUAAAGGGUGCGUAGGUGGCCGGGAAAGUUCGAUGUGAAAGCUCGGAGCUCAACUCCGAAAUGGCAUUGAAUACUAUUCGGCUCGAGGGUCGGAGGGGAGACUGGAAUUCUCGGUGUAGCAGUGAAAUGCGUAGAUAUCGAGAGGAACACCAGUGGCGAAGGCGAGUCUCUGGACGACUCCUGACACUGAGGCACGAAAGCUAGGGGAGCAAACAGGAUUAGAAACCCCCGUAGUCC